rnacentral:rRNA from 1 species
AGACGAAGCCGAAGCGAAAGCGAGUCUUAAUAGGGCGUGCAGUUGUUGGGGGUAGACCCGAAACCGAGUGAUCUAUCCAUGGCCAGGUUGAAGCGCGAGUAAGAUCGCGUGGAGGACCGAACCCACCAAAGUUGAAAAUUUGGGGGAUGAGCUGUGGAUAGGGGUGAAAGGCCAAUCAAACUUGGAUAUAGCUGGUUUUCCGCGAA